UGUUAGUUAUUACCUUUUUUUAUAGUGAAUAGAUAGUGAAAACAAGUUGUGGAAUGAGCUAAAACUACUAUUCCCAUAAUGCCUUAUUGAGUGGAACCACGAUCACGGGGUUGUGGUUGCAAAUUGCAGUUGGGCAUUGGAAAGAGGGGAAUGUCUUUCAGAUAAUGUGCCCACCACCUGGAGGCGUCACAUAAUAAACAGAAACUUGCAUAUAUGCCAAUCUCCUAAUUGGCUGAUUCUCCCGAUCAAUGGGAGACUUGAGGCUCUAAGUAUACUGUGAGAUCGGGGUGCUAAUGUAAAAGCAAUCUCAACAAAAUAGUGGGAAAAAGAUUUGAGUGAAAAAUGCCACGGACGUAAGUCCAUAAUGCCUUGCGGCUAAUGGGGCACGUGAUUGCAUCAUAAGACACGACUUGUGUUACCAUAGUAACAAAAAAGGUUUAAAACCACGGUAAAUGUGGGUUUCUAAC